rnacentral:rRNA from 1 species
GAUCAUGGCUCAGGAUGAACGCUGGCGGCGUGCUUAACACAUGCAAGUCGAACGGAACGCCAAGGAAAGAGUUUUCGGACAAUGGAAUUGGUUGUUUAGUGGCGGACGGGUGAGUAACGCGUGAGUAACCUGCCUUGAAGUGGGGAAUAACACAGUGAAAACUGUGCUAAUACCGCAUGAUAUAUUGGUGUCGCAUGGCACUGAUAUCAAAGAUUUAUCGCU